AUAUCAAUAAGCGGAGGAAAAGAAACCAACAGGGAUUGCCCUAGUAACGGCGAGUGAAGCGGCAAUAGCUCAAAUUUGAAAUCUGGCCCCCUCGGGGUCCGAGUUGUAAUUUGCAGAGGAAGCUUCGGCGUUGGCCCCGGGUUAAGUCCCCUGGGACGGGGCGCCCUAGAGGGUGAGAGCCCCGUACUCACCCGGGUGUACUUCGCCGUGUGAAGCUCCUUCGACGAGUCGAGUUGUUUGGGAAUGCAGCUCUAAGCGGGAGGUAUAUUUCUUCUAAAGCUAAAUACCGGCCAGAGACCGAUAGCGCACAAGUAGAGUGAUCGAAAGAUGAAAAGCACUUUGGAAAGAGAGUUAAAAAGCACGUGAAAUUGUUGAAAGGGAAGCUCUUGCCGCCAGACUUGCCGCGGUCGCUCAGCCGCCCCCCGGGGCGGUGUACUCUUCCGUCGGCAGGCCAGCGUCGGUUCGGGCGGCCGGAUAAAGGCCUUGGGAAUGUAGCACCUCUCGGGGUGUGUUAUAGCCCGGGGUGUAAUGCGGUCAGCCCGGUCCGAGGCACGCGUUCGCGAGGACGCUGGCGUAAUGGCUGCAAGCGACCCGUCUUGAAACACGGACCAAGGAGUCUAACAUCUGUGCGAGUGUUUGGGUCUCACACCCAUGCGCGUAAUGAAAGUGAACGGAGGUGGGAACCCCCCCGAGGGGCGCACCAUCGACCGAUCCUGAUGUCUUCGGAUGGAUUUGAGUAAGAGCAUAGCUGUUGGGGCCCGAAAGAUGGUGAACUAUUCCCGGAUAGGGUGAAGCCAGAGGAAACUCUGGUGGAGGCUCGCAGCGGUUCUGACGUGCAAAUCGAUCGUCAAAUCUAGGAAUAGGGGCGAAAGACUAAUCGAACCAU
rnacentral:rRNA from 1 species